GAUGAACGCUGGCGGCGUGCCUAAUACAUGCAAGUCGAGCGAACGGACGAGAAGCUUGCUUCUCUGAUGUUAGCGGCGGACGGGUGAGUAACACGUGGAUAACCUACCUAUAAGACUGGGAUAACUUCGGGAAACCGUAGCUAAUACCGGAUAAUAUUUUGAACCGCAUGGUUCAAAAGUGAAAGACGGUCUUGCUGUCACUUAUAGAUGGAUCCGCGCUGCAUUAGCUAGUUGGUAAGGUAACGGCUUACCAAGGCAACGAUGCAUAGCCGACCUGAGAGAGUGAUCGGCCACACUGGAACUGAGACACGGUCCAGACUCCUACGGGAGGCAGCAGUAGGGAAUCUUCCGCAAUGGGCGAAAGCCUGACGGAGCAACGCCGCGUGAGUGAUGAAGGUCUUCGGAUCGUAAAACUCUGUUAUUAGGGAAGAACAUAUGUGUAAGUAACUGUGCACAUCUUGACGGUACCUAAUCAGAAAGCCACGGCUAACUACGUG
rnacentral:rRNA from 1 species